UAUUUAUUUUAAAACAGAGAAACUGCUGGGAUCUUACACGUGGCUCGUGUGGGAUCAGAGUCUUCUGUGUCGAUGCACUGCUAUUGACUGUGAGAGUUCACUGCUCUGUCAGCUGCCAGAAUUCAGGGGCUCAGUGUUUCAGCAGUCACUGAAAUUACCUCCAUAGUGGGUUUAAGACCGAAGGCACCGUAAGAAACAGAGCUAAACUCAUGCACACGCUGUUCAAGAGCAGGCUGUGUCUAUGGAGCCCCCGCUGGGGUCCAGCGCCGCUUCCCAGCAGCGGGGCCCGCUCCGAGCCCGCAAGGCCGCCAGAGGGCGCCCCCACCCCCAGACAUCCGUCCCUCCGUCCGUCCGUCCAUCCAUCCAUCCAUCCAUCCCCUCCAUCCUUGGGUCACAAACCAGCGCUCACUGAACACAGCAAUUUUCAGGAAAGGGACUGAAAGCACGGCAUCUCCACUCCCACACCUAGAGUGCGUCCAUCAUUCAGCAGCAAGGUAAAUUACAGCACAAAAUCCAACUCAGGAGAAGAACAAGUCCCUGCAAUUUUGAGCACUUUGAACUGCUUGUGUUUUUUUUUUCAUUUUAACCAGUAGCUGAAAAUAAGGCUAACCAAACUACUACAGACUUAAAUUUCUUUAAUUUUAGUAUUAGUGUCUAAUAUAAAUGUGUUUAUCACUUGUGAAAUUCAAGAUGACUGAAUUUGGAGUCUGUUUGAAGAUGCUUAGCAAUGCCCAAGCUAUUCCCAUGCAGGAGUGGUAAUGGCAUUCACUACAGAUAGCAGCUUUGUGUUUUAAAUUUGUGAUGCAGCUUUUCAGUCCAGAAGAAAUUUAUCCUUAGACUUGUUACAAGCAUGAGUGCACCAAAGCUUUUAUGGCUGACUGGGGUAGAACCUGGGCAAAGAGAACUCUGUUUGACCCAGCUGCCUUGAGCACUGAGCCCUGGGAUGCUGUGGCAUCAUCUGCACCACCAUGGGCCAGCACCAGGGAAACAGCUGAGUACCUGGUCCAUGGCAAACUCCACGGUGCUGCAGUUCCCUCACCACAGAGCCCCAGCCCGAGUGUGGACAAUGGCUGUGGGAGAGGGGAAGGGUCACACAAACUGCACUAAGUUAAUUUGUGUAUGCACACACCUCAAGGGAAUCCACUACAGUGUAAUUUUCAUAUAAUGGGAUUUCAGAUGACUUUGCUGCCUUGACAUUACAAGGCAUCUCUUCAUCUAAAUGAGAGGCUAUGGCAAUAAUGUAAUACCACCAGAAAAUCUUAUCUGUAGGGAAAAGCAGGACCUUGUUUUACAUCUCAUGGCUCAC